rnacentral:rRNA from 1 species
UACGAAGGGGGCUAGCGUUGUUCGGAAUUACUGGGCGUAAAGCGCGCGCAGGCGGUUUUCCAAGUCAGUGGUGAAAGCCCGGAGCUCAACUCCGGAACUGCCAUUGAAACUGUUAAACUUGAGGACGAGAGAGGUGAGUGGAAUUCCCAGUGUAGAGGUGAAAUUCGUAGAUAUUGGGAAGAACACCAGUGGCGAAGGCGGCUCACUGGCUCGUAUCUGACGCUCAGGCGCGAUAGCGUGGGGGAUCAAACAGG